AGAGAUUGUGCAUGGACCUUUGAA
rnacentral:siRNA from 1 species